CUCAGGGCCCCGUUUCCCGAAAGCGUCGUUAGCCUAAGUGGAUCGUGAAGUGCGUCGAAAGGGCAUCGUAGAGUUUUCACCGCGUUUCCCGAAAGCAUCGUUGGGAACGAACAUCUUGAAAACGCUCGUAGCUAACGAGUACUCCAGGGGUGCUCGUAGGACGCUAAGAGCAUCGUCAGCUAUAGCCUCAGUGGCGUCACCAUCGGACAUUCCGUCUAUUGGAUGCGUUUUAUUAAAACGCAUUGCGCCUUUAUGUUCUUAGUUUGGUAAUUAAUAAAGAUUAUUAAUUUAUUUAUUAAUAAAGAUGUUAAAAUGGCCAAAAUAAAACGGGACAGUCCAGAAAAUGUUUGCGCAGGCAGGGCACUCAAAAUGUGUGAGAGAAAGUGUGGGGAUUUGUGCAGACUGACAUAGGCUACUCAUAAAACGUAGCAUAAAAUAAUGUAAAAAAAAAAAAAAAAAAAAAAAAAAAAGAAAGAAAUAAAAAAAAUUAUAAAAAACAAGCAA